rnacentral:rRNA from 1 species
AUUGAACGCUGGCGGCAGGCUUAACACAUGCAAGUCGAGCGGGGUGAUGGUGCUUGCACUAUCACUUAGCGGCGGACGGGUGAGUAAUGCUUAGGUAUCUGCCUAUUAGUGGGGGACAACAUAUCGCAAGGGAUGCUAAUACCGCAUACGUCCUACGAGAGAAAGCAGGGGAUCACAUGUGACAGUGCGCUAAUAGAUGAGCCUAAGUGGGAUUAGCUAGUUGGUGGGGUAAAGGCCUACCAAGGCGACGAGCUGUAGCGGGUCGGAGAGGUUGAUCCGCCACACGGGGACUGAGACACGGCCCAGACUCCUACGGGAGGAAGCAGUGGGGAAUAUUGGACAAUGGGGGAACCCUGAUGCAGCCAUGCCGCGUGUGUGAAGAAGGCCUUAUGGUUGUAAAGCACUUUAAGCGAGGAGGAGGCUCUUUUGGUUAAUACCCAAGAUGAGUGGACGUUACUCGCAGAAUAAGCACCGGCUAACUCUGUGCCAGCAGCCGCGGUAA